rnacentral:rRNA from 1 species
UGCCAGCCGCCGCGGUAAUACGGAGGGUGCAAGCGUUGUUCGGAAUUACUGGGCGUAAAGCGUGUGUAGGCGGUCUGCUAAGUCGGAUGUGAAAGCCCAGGGCUCAACCCUGGAAUUGCAUUCGAUACUGCUUGACUAGAGUAUGGUAGAGGGAAGUGGAGUUUCCGGUGUAGCGGUGAAAUGCGUAGAUAUCGGAAGGAACACCAGUGGCGAAGGCGACUUCCUGGGCCAAUACUGACGCUGAGGUGCGAAAGCUAGGGGAGCAAACGGGAUUAGAUA